GGGAACAUCUAAAAGAAACAAGUUAAUCUAAGAUGAAAAGUUCAUUUGAAUGUGUAUAAUAUCAUACCUGUUUUCUUCAAGGUUCGCAAGUUGCUGUGACAUUUAAUCAAUGGAGAUUUAUCUAACUGAUAAUCCUCAUCCUUAAAAUGCUCCGAACAUAUCGCACUACAUUUAGAUGGACACCAAUUUGCAUCUCGUCCGCAAAAUGCGAUCCAUUGUUGAGCUAGCUCACUCUCUCGCGGAAAAGUAUGAAACAUAACAAUCGUGCUACGAUUUUUCACAUUGGUUCUGUUAUUUUUGCAUAACAAAGCUGCACAAAAUGCAUACGGCAUUUUGAAAUACUAUGCAGAGCGUUGAAAAUAUUUGAAACACUUUAACUUUCGUUGAAAAACUUUAACUUUCGUACUGCGUUUCAAAACACCAAUGGAAAAGCGAAAACAGAAAAGAGCGUUCCCGAAGUAAACAUCCCACCAUCCCGUGAAUGUCAAACUCUGAAGUUUUUUCUAAAAUACGAUCGGGGAUUUGUUCUGGAUAAAGCUACCUGUCUUUUUAAAGUACCUUGAAACUGCCACAAAAGUGACUCAGAAAGACCCACCUGUCUAUUUAAAACACAUUGGCAACGCAGCGUUUACCCGUGCUGGUUCAGAUGGUUCAGCGCCUUCAGCACCUGGUAGCCAAUUCGGGGCAGUUUUCGCGUUUCUGUUGUAUUAUGAAUGUUAAAAUUCACGAAAAGUGGCACUGUCACAAAAAACCAAAGUUAAAUUCACGAAAUUGCCACAAAAGUGACUCAGAUAGAUUCCACCUGUGAAAUUUAUGAAAUUGCCACAAAAGUGAUUCAGAAAGACUCCACUUGUCUAUUUAAAACACAUUGGCAACGCAGCGUUUACCCGUGCUGGUUCAGAUGGUUCAGCGCCUUCAGCACCUGGUAGCCAAUUCGGGGCAGUUUUCGCGUUUCUGUUGUAUUAUGAAUGUUAAAAUUCACGAAAAGUGGCACUGUCACAAAAAACCAAAGUUAAAUUCACGAAAUUGCCACAAAAGUGACUCAGAUAGAUUCCACCUGUGAAAUUCAUGAAAUUGCUAUAUAAUAGCAGGGCGCUUUUAUCAACAAAACCACAUCAUUCGAGCAACCGAGUUAUGUUUUACAGCGAGUGAGCACGGUAUAGGAACGCUAGCCAGCUCUUGUUCUGGUAUAGGUGGCAAGAACUAUUGGUCGAUACGACCGAUGGAGAGGUCCGAGGACGGAAACUCGAGUCGGUAGGAAACAUCGAGUGUUUCCUGCGUGUUUCUUCACCGCCCGCCCUUCAUCUCUGCUGCACUGAGCGGAUCAUGAACGACGGCAUCACGCACGACUUUGAUGUUGGCCAGCAGUCGCCAACCGUGGUUACGUUCGCAAUAGAAGACGCGCCCUCCGCCGUGUUGAUGCAUCGUGCGUGCUGAACCGGUGAAUUACUAAUUGUGUCCGCUCCGAGCAACAUAGUUUACAUUGGCGAGAGCAGGUCGUUCUUUGCCGUGUGCGAUGCGUUGCGACACCUGUUCGAGGGGCCCGUGAUCCAGGAGCUGCGGGUGCUGUCGUAAAAAACUGAAUCGGGAGAAGCAUACGAGGAAGAUGAGGCGAGCAUUAAUGUGGAAAACUUGCGUGUAAAGGCAUGCCGCGGUACAAGGUGUUGCGGAAGUAUCGCAAGGGUGGGAAGCCACCAGCAACAGUUGCGGCACCAACAACGGGCAGUCGAUCGUCGGGAUCGUCCCGCGAAUCUCAGAGACGCGUUUGAGUGAGGUCAUGAAGGAGACCGGAGCCGGUUCUAAAUCCAUCUCACCGCUGCUGAAGGGUAAGAAAACGCUCGUUGAUGAAGAGGAUGGGGAUGUUGAUAGUGAGGCAUGUUGUCGCCGGUUCGGCUGAUUUAGCUCCUGCCGCGAGCGGUAAUGCAGCCAUCGAUUCAACGGUCGGCAGCUUGUUGCUUGGCAGUCGAAGGGCGUGAGAUGACGCAGUGACUCAUUUCAUUCUAUUUUGGCUUUCGGAAAAAUCUGCCCGAUUCGAGAUUGAUCCGGCUCAGCUGAUGCUGCUGAUAAUAAUAAUUUCAAUGAUAACAACUAAUAAUUUUCCUCAUUGUCUUGAGUUGUUUGUCUCUUUGUCAUGGUAUAUUUAGGAACGUUUCAAUCUGCACUGUUCUAGCUACAUCGUUUCGCUUUUAGCACUUGAAAGUAUCGCUAACUGCUGACCCCAACGGAAGCGCGCGCGAAUUGUUCACCGCGGCGAACUAAUGCUUCAAGUUUUGAUUCCUAAUUUACUAUCUUCCUCAUUUUCUUUGUCCUUUUUUCAUUAGUCGGUAAUUUCCGUUUGGGCAGUAACCUUUUUUCAUUGAGAUUUUUCAUGUUGAUAUAUCGUAUACGAACAUUCACUCGAAGCUUAACAAAAUAUCUGAUUAUCGUUGGCGGUAGAUCUUUCAUUUUGGUUUCUAUUUUGGUGGAACAUCUGGCUACAACAUUUUGAGUGUAUUGAAAUUUACCAUUAGGGUGGAUUUUUUGGAAUAUCUUUUCCAUUUUAUGACAUGAUUUUAGGAACUCUUCUGACGGCACAAACAGCCCUCCUACGGAUAAAUGUUGUAGAUAGCUGGGAGGAUGUGAAUAGCUAUGAUCGCUCUUGAUGUUUAAAGAUUGUGUUCCCAAUUGAAGCUCCGGAUAUUUUGAUUUGAACUUGUUCGCUAAAAAUCCUACUAUGUAUUGUAGUCCGUCGCUUUCUUGGCCCGUAUUUUCGCCCAUCGAACUACUUAUGGAACUCAAUAUUUUACUACUUUCCGAGUUUUCGCGGUCAUGUAAAUCAGUAUUCGCUAUUACGAUUGAAGGCCCUGAAAAUAACUUCGCCAUUAUAAAGGUUUCAUCUUCUUCAAAUUCUUGUAGAUCUUCUGCCUCAACUUGUUCAAUGUUAGUAUGGUUUUUUAAAAUAGUUGGUGUCUUGCCUAAAACUAUUAGCCUAAUUCUAUGAACGCAACUUUUAGGUGAAGGGUGAUCGUGUACCCCACCUAUCUGUCUAAUUUGUGAAAAGAAGUUUUCCAGCACAUCCUGAUUUAGCUGUAAAUAUAGAAAAGAAAUAUUAUAUUAGAUAUACAAAAAUUUCUUGCUUUGCGAGUGGUAUGCUUACCUUUCGUGUGGAUAAAAAUGUGAUGUUAUGUUUUGCCUUCAUAUCCACGAAUAACAGUUUUAAGCCUGUUAUUUGCAUGAGCAUUGAUUUUUGAAAAAUCUGUAAAUUAGUUUUUCCUAUCACACGCAUGUUUCAAAGGAACUCGUGCAUUUCGUCUAAUGCUGAAAUUUGAUUUUCAUUGCCGGUGAACGUUUUUUUGUAGUCCAGCUUGGCGACUGGACUACACGAGUUAGAAAUAUUAAACCACAAAUCUAUUUUUUCAAUAACGUUGGCAAGAUUGAUCGCGUUCUCAUUGUGUGGAUAAUAGUGCCGCAAAGCAACAGCCGUUGUUCGCGACAAUAAUUCUGCUGCUUUUCUCACGUUUUGCUUUUCUAAAGAAGUCAACAAAAUAUGACCCUUUGUUAGUUUAAAUGUCGAUGUAAUUUCUAAAUUAUCUCUUUCAGAUACUAAAUCCCAUAAUAUAUCGGAUUGAAUUUUGUGCCCAUUAUAUUCAAAACCUGGCUUUAGCAGCCAAUUUCUCAUCAAUUUUAAAAGAUGGGGUGCAUCCGGAAUCACAUAAACUCUAGUGUUUGUCACAGGGUGUUUAAAAAAGGGUUCAUUAUAGCUUACUACACCCAAUUCUUUCCAGCAAGAUAUAUUUGUCGAAGCAUUAUCACUGACGAUGGAUACCACAUUAACCCCUUUAUGAUAAAGUUUUUCUAUUAAAGUAUUCACGAUUUCCUUCGUCAUUUUUUGGUCAAAUCCGAUGUAUACGGGUUGUUUCCAUUUUUGGAAAAGGCCACGCGCCAUAACAACUUGAACAUAAUUAAAAGGACCCAUAAUUUCAUCUGCUGCAAUAUCGUACUCCAUUACUUCAGAUACCUUCAUUUCAUCGAAACUUAAGACACAUUCCUUGUCCUGUUUCUCAAAAGUUCGAGUAAAGUUCCCUAUCAUAUUGAUUACAUCUUCUAACACACCUUGCUUAAGGUUAAAAGUUCUCGCAUGGCGUUGUAAUGUGGAUAUGGAAGGAAGUGGAUACUUUAAAUCUCUAGCUAAAUAUUUAUAAGCUCGUUUUGAAAAAUACCUUAAUGUAAGAGCUGCGCUUAUUUCGUCUAAGGACCACUUCACCCGUUUCCUUACGUUUAAAAUUACAUCUAACUAAUUACUUGAUAAUGUUGCUUUAAGCCUAUUUUUUAUAAUAGAGUUAAUUUUGGUUUUAGCUAUAGGACUCCUUUCAAUAUGUUCUAUUUUUUUUUUGCUUUUUUGGAGUUCCUGUUUGAGUGCUUUAUUUUCAUUAUGAAGUUCGCUUAAUUUUUUCAUCAAUUGUCCAUUAACUUCCUUCAAUCUUUUAUUUUCUAAUUCGAGGGGCGAAGGAGGUGGGGGAAUCCCGAUUUUCAACUGCAGAAUCCGAAUCCCAAACCGUACCCGUACCUUCGGACGACUUAUACAGAGCGUAACUUUUAACUACUAGCUGUUCCUCCUGCUGCAUCGUAUUUACAGGCGUAUUUUGGUUGGAUUCGUACACAGAGGGAACAGCUAAAAGAAACAAGUUAAUCUAAGAUGAAAAGUUCAUUUGAAUGUGUAUAAUAUCAUACCUGUUUUCUUCAAGGUUCGCAAGUUGCUGUGACAUUUAAUCAAUGGAGAUUUAUCUAACUGAUAAUCCUCAUCCUUAAAAUGCUCCGAACAUAUCGCACUACAUUUAGAUGGACACCAAUUUGCAUCUCGUCCGCAAAAUGCGAUCCAUUGUUGAGCUAGCUCACUCUCUCGCGGAAAAGUAUGAAACAUAACAAUCGUGCUACGAUUUUUCACAUUGGUUCUGUUAUUUUUGCAUAACAAAGCUGCACAAAAUGCAUACGGUAUUUUGAAAUACUAUGCAGAGCGUUGAAAAUAUUUGAAACACUUUAACUUUCGUUGAAAAACUUUAACUUUCGUACUGCGUUUCAAAACACCAAUGGAAAAGCGAAAACAGAAAAGAGCGUUCCCGAAGUAAACAUCCCACCAUCCCGUGAAUGUCAAACUCUGAAGUUUUUUCUAAAAUACGAUCGGGGAUUUGUUCUGGAUAAAGCUACCUGUCUUUUUAAAGUACCUUGAAACUGCCACAAAAGUGACUCAGAAAGACUCCACCUGUCUAUUUAAAACACAUUGGCAACGCAGCGUUUACCCGUGCUGGUUCAGAUGGUUCAGCGCCUUCAGCACCUGGUAGCCAAUUCGGGGCAGUUUUCGCGUUUCAGUUGUAUUAUGAAUGUUAAAAUUCACGAAAAGUGGCACUGUCACAAAAAACCAAAGUUAAAUUCACGAAAUUGCCACAAAAGUGACUCAGAUAGAUUCCACCUGUUAAAUUCAUGAAAUUGCCACAAAAGUGAUUCAGAAAGACUCCACCUGUUAAAUUCACGAAACUGCCACAAAAGUGACUCAGAAAGACUCCACCUGUCUAUUUAAAACACAUUGGCAACGCAGCGUUUACCCGUGCUGGUUCAGAUGGUUCAGCGCCUUCAGCACCUGGUAGCCAAUUCGGGGCAGUUUUCGCGUUUCUGUUGUAUUAUGAAUGUUAAAAUUCACGAAAAGUGGCACUGUCACAAAAAACCAAAGUUAAAUUCACGAAAUUGCCACAAAAGUGACUCAGAUAGAUUCCACCUGUUAAAUUCAUGAAAUUGCCACAAAAGUGAUUCAGAAAGACUCCACCUGUUAAAUUCACGAAACUGCCACAAAAGUGACUCAGAAAGACUCCACCUGUCUAUUUAAAACACAUUGGCAACGCAGCGUUUACCUGUGCUGGUUCAGAUGGUUCAGCGCCUUCAGCACCUGGUAGCCAAUUCGGGGCAGUUUUCGCGUUUCAGUUGUAUUAUGAAUGUUAAAAUUCACGAAAAGUGGCACUGUCACAAAAAACCAAAGUUAAAUUCACGAAAUUGCCACAAAAGUGACUCAGAUAGA